rnacentral:misc_RNA from 1 species
CUAUGGAGAAUCGUUUCCCGCAGCGGAAACAUUCAAAUCGGAAGCKAAGCUUCCAAAACUCAGGUUUAGGCCUGUUGCUCACUCGUUGCUCAGUUUUGAGAGCUCAAACUCUCAACUCUUGAUCCUUGAAAACUGGAUAYCGAAACGAAAAUUGCGUUUUAGAACAUCUUUUAGCUGAACUUGUGUCAAGCGAUUGAUCAAGUGAAGAUAAAGUGCUUAAUU